CUCUGAGUUAUAUAAAAUGCUCUACUUUCUCUAUAAGUGUCAUGCUAUUUUUUCCCCCCAGGAGAGCCAUGAUCUCUUGCAGACAAAAUUAUUUUGUGGGAGUCUGAAUGGAAUCCAUCAGAAAUAUCUGGAAGAACAGUCUUUUUCAUGGGCAGAUAUCCUCAUGAAGCAAACGCCUGUCCUAUUGUCCUUGCAUGCUGAGCUGGUCCAAAUUCUCCAGAGUGCAGUGGUCAUGUGAAGGGAAACGCAGAAGCUGUGUGCUGAAAAGCUGGAUUCUGAAUACAGGAGAGAGACUACCCGGCUGACCCACAGGUUUGCAUUUUAAGGCUGUGAAUCCACUACUCUAAAUUAGGAGUCACAAAAUUGUUGAUAGCAAUCACCAGCCCAGCCACAUAAUUCUCGAGGAAGCCUAAAAACUG
rnacentral:lncRNA from 1 species